AUCACGUCAGUUACUUCUUACACUGGACCCAUAAAGGCCUUGCUGUGAGAGAUAACUUGGACUUUUCCUCUUAUUCAUCAAACUCCGUAUACUCCACAUAUUCCGAAAAUGCGCGAGUGUCUGUCCAUCCACGUCGGUCAGGCUGGUGUCCAGAUUGGCAAUGCCUGCUGGGAGCUUUACUGCCUGGAACAUGGGAUCCAGCCGGACGGCAGGAAGCCCGGUGACCAGUCAAUUGGAGGAGGAGACGAUUCCUUCAACACCUUCUUCAUGGAGACUGGAUCGGGAAAGCACGUCCCCAGAGCAGUUUUUGUUGACCUGGAGCCCACUGUCAUUGAUGAGGUGCGCACUGGGACCUACCGCCAGCUGUUCCACCCUGAGCAGCUGAUCACUGGCAAGGAGGAUGCUGCCAACAACUACGCCCGUGGACACUACACCGUCGGCAAGGAGGUCAUCGACCUUGUCAUGGAUAGGAUCCGCAAACUGUCGGACCAGUGCACUGGUCUUCAGGGUUUCCUGGUUUUCCACAGCUUCGGAGGGGGCACCGGCUCUGGUUUCACCUCCCUGCUGAUGGAGCGUCUGUCUGUCGACUACGGCAAGAAGUCCAAAGCUGGAGUUCUCCGUCUACCCAGCUCCCCAGGUGUCCACCGCUGUGGUGGAGCCCUACAAUGCCAUCCUGACCACCCACACCACCCUGGAGCACUCUGACUGUGCCUUCAUGGUUGAUAA